AGCUUUGCGCAGUGGCAGUAUCAUAGCCAAUGAGGUUUAUCCGAGGCGCGAUUAUUGCUAAUUGAAAAACCUUAAUAAAUGGC
rnacentral:snRNA from 1 species